rnacentral:rRNA from 1 species
AUUGAACGCUGGCGGCAGGCCUAACACAUGCAAGUCGAACGGUAGCACAGAGAGCUUGCUCUCGGGUGACGAGUGGCGGACGGGUGAGUAACGUCUGGGAAACUGCCCGAUGGAGGGGGAUAACUACUGGAAACGGUAGCUAAUACCGCAUAACGUCGCAAGACCAAAGUGGGGGACCUUCGGGCCUCACACCAUCGGAUGUGCCCAGAUGGGAUUAGCUAGUAGGUGGGGUAAUGGCUCACCUAGGCGACGAUCCCUAGCUGGUCUGAGAGGAUGACCAGCCACACUGAAACUGCGACACGGUCCAGACUCCUACGGGAGGCAGCAGUGGGGAAUAUUGCACAAUGGGCGCAAGCCUGAUGCAGCCAUGCCGCGUGUAUGAAGAAGGCCUUCGGGUUGUAAAGUACUUUCAGCGGGGAGGAAGGCGGUGAAGUUAAUAACUUCACCGAUUGACGUUACCCGCAGAAGAAGCACCGGCUAACUCCGUGCCAGCCGCCGCCGUAA